GCCGCGAAUUCGCCCUUAGGGUUUGAUCAUGGCUCAGGAUGAACGCUGGCGGCGUGCCUAAUACAUGCAAGUCGAGCGAGGCCCUUCGGGGCCUAGCGGCGGACGGGUGAGUAACACGUGGGUAACCUGCCUGUAAGACUGGGAUAACUUCGGGAAACCGAAGCUAAUACCGGAUAAUUUCGAGCAUCGCAUGAUGCUUGAUGGAAAGACGGCUUCGGCUGUCGCUUACAGAUGGACCCGCGUCGCAUUAGCUAGUUGGUGAGGUAACGGCUCACCAAGGCGACGAUGCGUAGCCGACCUGAGAGGGUGAUCGGCCACACUGGGACUGAGACACGGCCCAGACUCCUACGGGAGGCAGCAGUAGGGAAUCUUCGGCAAUGGGCGAAAGCCUGACCGAGCAACGCCGCGUGAGCGAUGAAGGCCUUCGGGUCGUAAAGCUCUGUUGUUAAGGAAGAACAAGUACGAGAGUAACUGCUCGUACCUUGACGGUACUUAACGAGAAAGCCACGGCUAACUACGUGCCAGCAGCCGCGGUAAUACGUAGGUGGCGAGCGUUAUCCGGAAUUAUUGGGCGUAAAGCGCGCGCAGGCGGUUUCUUAAGUCUGAUGUGAAAGCCCACGGCUCAACCGUGGAGGGUCAUUGGAAACUGGGAAACUUGAGUACAGAA
rnacentral:rRNA from 1 species